AGAGUUUGAUCCUGGCUCAGAAUGAACGCUGGCGGCGUGCCUAACACAUGCAAGUCGGAUGUGCCGCAAGGUGCGUGGCAGACGGGUGAGUAACGCGUAGGGAAUCUACCUCUUUGUGGGGAAUAACGCUCCGAAAGGAGUGGUAAUACCGCAUGAGACCGAGUGCUGGGAUGCAUUCGGUGAAACCUGGGGACCGCAAGGCCUGGGGCAAGGAGAGGAUCCUGCGUCUGAUUAGCUAGUUGGCGGGGUAAUGGCCCACCAAGGCGACGAUCAGUAGCCGGCCUGAGAGGGUGAUCGGCCACACUGGAACUGAGACACGGUCCAGACUCCUACGGGAGGCAGCAGUGGGGAAUUUUGCGCAAUGGACGAAAGUCUGACGCAGCAACGCCGCGUGGGUGAUGAAGGUCUUCGGACUGUAAAACCCUGUCGUCAGGGACGAAGGUG
rnacentral:rRNA from 1 species